AACCCGACUCCAUGAAGCUGGAUUCGCUAGUAAUCGCGCAUCAGCCACGGCGCGGUGAAUACGUUCCCGGGCCUUGUACACACCGCCCGUCAAGCCAUGGGAGUCGGGAGUGCCUGAAGUGCGUGAGCGCGAGCAGCGCCCUAGGGCAAAACCGAUGACUGGGGCUAAGUCGUAACAAGGUAGC
rnacentral:rRNA from 1 species